CGCGGCCUAUCAGCUUGUUGGUGGGGUAGUGGCUUACCAAGGCUUUGACGGGUAGCCGGCCUGAGAGGGUGACCGGCCACAUUGGGACUGAGAUACGGCCCAGACUCCUACGGGAGGCAGCAGUGGGGAAUAUUGCACAAUGGGCGGAAGCCUGAUGCAGCAACGCCGCGUGCGGGAUGACGGCCUUCGGGUUGUAAACCGCUUUCACCUGUGACGAAGCGUGAGUGACGGUAAUGGGUAAAGAAGCACCGGCUAACUACGUGCCAGCAGCCGCGGUGAUACGUAGGGUGCGAGCGUUGUCCGGAUUUAUUGGGCGUAAAGGGCUCGUAGGUGGUUGAUCGCGUCGGAAGUGUAAUCUUGGGGCUUAACCCUGAGCGUACUUUCGAUACGGGUUGGCUUGAGGAAGGUAGGGGAGAAUGGAAUUCCUGGUGGAGCGGUGGAAUGCGCAGAUAUCAGGAGGAACACCAGUGGCGAAGGCGGUUCUCUGGGCCUUUCCUGACGCUGAGGAGCGAAAGCGUGGGGAGCGAACAGGCUUAGAUACCCUGGUAGUCCACGCUGUAGACGGUGGGUACUAGGUGUGGGGUCCGUUCCACGGGUUCCGUGCCGUAGCUAACGCUUUAAGUACCCCGCCUGGGGAGUACGG
rnacentral:rRNA from 1 species